UCUCCAUGGGACCAUCAGCAGUGGAUUCUGUGGAAGCCUUGGCUGAGCAGAAGGUGGAAUACGGUUAUGAGGAUCAUGGCCUUUUCAAGAAGAAAAGGAAUUUUUGGUGGCUGACACCCUGGAUUACACUGAAAGGCUGCACUCCAGAGGCAGUGAAAGGCCACAUAGCAGAAAAAGCAAUGUGCCACCUGGGUUGAACCUGAUGAACCCUCCAGGGUUCAGAGAACAGAUUGCUCCCAAGCACAUCCUCCUUUCCCAGAUGGCCUUGAACAGACGCAGCCCUCCAUGCAGACUUGGGAUAAAUACUGUCCAGGAGGGAGAUGACGCAUGAUGAACCUGCCAGAAGCCAGCUACAGCCAGGGGAGCUGGAAAGCAAAACUCUCUUGAGCUGCAGAUAGGCAGAGAGGCCUCCUUGACUCUUCUCUCUCCUCCAGGAACUCAGACCUUUGUCUUCCUCACUGAACCCACCUCAGACAAACUACUCAAUGGACUCCAGAAAACCCAAAUCUCUUCAGCUUUCUAAAGGAGAUGAAUGAGGAGCCAUCUGGGCCGGAAAUGCAGGUCCCAGAGAACUUUCUCCAGAGAUAUACCAGUUUGGAUGAAGGCUAUGUCCAAAUGAUUCAGAUACAAGAGUUGGGUGGUCCUAGGUUCAGAUCUACACUUCUCUUCUCACCGAUAUCCCUUAAGUAAAGGAGUAGCCAUGGACUCCGCAUGGGCGUGGUGGGCUUAGAUGAUGCUAUGUUUGUACAACUACUGUGCAAAUGCAAAGCUUCCCUCACCCAGGGAGAGGCUUGAACAGCAAA